UGAAUAUUUCGGUUAUUAAUUGGAAAACAAGAUGACGCUGCUGUGCUACUGUUCACUUGGUGACUGUGGGGGUAAUGAAACCUGUGUUCGAAAGUUUUUGUGAAGUAUGUCAUAUUCCAAGGGAAAAUUCAAACAAAUCUAAUGGUGGUUCUGUGUGUUUUCGUCCUAAAGUGUGUUUUGCAAGUGAAGCCCACAAAGUGCUUGGUUUUUAUGUUACAUGUCUUGUAAUCAACUAUGUCAGCUGUCAAACCAAAAAACUAUUCACAACCCAUUAUGUUGCAUUCAUCAAACUAUUCUGGUGCUCAUUGAGAGGUUCAGCUCAUGAAACUUCAUUUGUAAUGGAUACUUUCCGUUGAGGAAUGUCAUGAAUGAUGCAAAUACUGUGGUGCACCAAAUUCUUCUUAUGCUGCAGUGCCAACUGUAACAACAGCCAUUUCGGCAGUUGUAAUCUCUACUUAGCCUACCAACAGACAUAGACAUGUACCUCAACACAAUUUCUAUUGGACUGCCAACUCUUUGCCGUCUGCUGCCUAUUUGCUGGCCCUACAGUAUUUCUAGCCAUUGGACAACAGAA